rnacentral:rRNA from 1 species
UACGAAGGGGGCUAGCGUUGCUCGGAAUGACUGGGCGUAAAGCGCACGUAGGCGGAUCGUUAAGUCGGGGGUGAAAUCCUGGAGCUCAACUCCAGAACUGCCUUCGAUACUGGCGAUCUUGAGUCCGGAAGAGGUGAGUGGAACUCCUAGUGUAGAGGUGGAAUUCGUAGAUAUUAGGAAGAACACCAGUGGCGAAGGCGGCUCACUGGUCCGGUACUGACGCUGAGGUGCGAAAGCGUGGGGAGCAAACAGG